rnacentral:rRNA from 1 species
CGGGGAAUUUUGGACAAUGGGCGAAAGCCUGAUCCAGCCAUGCCGCGUGAGUGAAGAAGGCCUUCGGGUUGUAAAGCUCUUUUAGUCGGAAAGAAAGAGUUGCAAUGAAUAAUUGUGAUUUAUGACGGUACCGACAGAAAAAGCACCGGCUAACUACGUGCCAGCAGCCGCGGUAAUACGUAGGGUGCGAGCGUUAAUCGGAAUUACUGGGCGUAAAGGGUGCGCAGGCGGUCUUGCAAGUCAGAUGUGAAAGCCCCGGGCUUAACCUGGGGAUUGCGUUUGAAACUACAAGACUAGAGUGCAGCAGAGGGGAGUGGAAUUCCAUGUGUAGCAGUGAAAUGCGUAGAGAUGCGGAGGAACACCGAUGGCGAAGGCAGCCUCCUGGGAUGACACUGACGCUCAUGCACGAAAGCGUGGGGAGCAAACA